UUAUGUGUAUGCUUGUGCAAGUGUUCUACCACAAUUCAAGUCAACAAGUAAGAGUAGAGACAAUGAUUGGCACAUUAGAAAUGAUCACCCCAAAAUGUACACGAUAUAAUUCACACAAGGUAGGCACAUCACUACACAAAUAUCAAAAAUAACAAUAACCCCAGGCCAUCACAAGUCAUCAAAAAUCACUUCUCGACAUAGCCGACAUUGUCUCACUACGUGUGUAAUAAUAAACUUGUCUCGGUGCACACAGACUAUAAUAUUCUCACCUUUUCUCGCCACCUGCGCGAAUCCACAUACAUAGUCCACCUUGUCAUGCCACAUGUGUAAAUAUCAAUGAUAACAACAAAUCGGACAACUCUCGUGCGAACAUCCCAACAAUCCUCACAACAGUGCCACAUGUGCUAGAAGAUAACAACACAAUAAAAUGACUUCCACAAU
rnacentral:lncRNA from 1 species